AGUCCAAGACCUCCGUGGAGAGUGAAAGACUCAAUGCCUCCUGACCGAGGCUUCAGGCCUGCCCCGGCAGCUAGGAAACCUGAAACUGCCAUUGAGCAGAAGGAAAACAUCCCUUUCCAGAACCUUUCUCGUUUUUCUAAAAAUCUGCACUUUUGGAAGUGAUCCCCCAAAGAGACCUCCAGACUCUACCAUGAGUGUCUCCAGCUGAACUCAUCGUGUCUAAUCCUCACCCUAGCUUAUCCUGUUCAAAUCAUUUCCAUCUUUUUCUGGAUGAACCUGGGCGGAUGUCAGACCAGAGAAGAGCACAGAAUGUACCAGAGAGCUGCCAUGUCCUGUGGAGAGCCUGGCAUGAACAGAGGCCUUGCGGAGAACUGAAGCCUUCAGUCCAAGAGCCAGGGAGGAAC
rnacentral:lncRNA from 1 species